AUGAACGCUAGCGACAGGCCUAACACAUGCAAGUCAGGGGCAGCACAAGGAGCAAUCUGAGGUGGCGACCGGCGCACGGGUGAGUAACACGUAUGCAACCUGCCUGUAAGCGGGGAAUAACCCGUUGAAAGACGGACUAAUACCGCAUAAUACUAAAUUACUGCAUGGUAAUUUAUUUAAACAUUUAUGGCUUACAGAUGGGCAUGCGCAUGAUUAGCUAGUUGGAGAGGUAACGGCUCCCCAAGGCAACGAUCAUUAGGGGUUCUGGGAGGAAGGUCCCCCACACUGGUACUGAGACACGGACCAGACUCCUACGGGAGGCAGCAGUGAGGAAUAUUGGUCAAUGGACGAGAGUCUGAACCAGCCAAGUCGCGUGCAGGAAGAAUGUUCCCUAUGGAUUGUAAACUGCUUUUGCAGGGGAAUAAAGUGCAUCACGUGUGAUGUUUUGUAUGUACUCUGCGAAUAAGGAUCGGCUAACUCCGUGCCAGCAGCCGC
rnacentral:rRNA from 1 species